GCCUUGGUGGUGGAAUGGUAGACACGGUUGAUUCAAAAUCAACUGCGAUGAGCGUGGAGGUUCAAAUCCUCUCCAGGGCA
rfam:Coccomyxa sp. C-169 plastid, complete genome.